UCAGUUCAGUUUUCUAAACAAAUUGAUGUGAUACUUCGGAAUGGAAUAAUUAUCUUACACUUAAUUAUAGACAUGCCUUUUAAUUUCUUUCUACAGGUUUGGUCUUCUGUGAAUACUUGCAUAGUGGACUAGUUCUUUCAUUUAAAGACGUUAAUGACCAGGAACCACUUUUUCCAGCUGUAUCACUUCUUAACCUGAGUCCUGCACACAAAUCACAGUUGGCAGUACUUUCAGAAGAAGCCAAGGAUGCUGCUGCUGCUAUUGAGGCUUGGCUGCAGCUGGGGACCAAACUCUCUGAUGUGGUUACAAACAAGAGUGAUGCACUUGGAUUGUUUGACCUCUUCAGAGAUGAAAGCUACAUUUUGACUGGGCAUGAAGGAAGAUUUUAUGUAUCUACCUGCAUUGGCAAGAGAAAAUUUCUGGGAUCAAAACAAGGAGUUUGUUUGAUGACUGCAGACGAGGGGGGAAGCUGGAAAUAUCGCUGGACUAUUUUCUAAGGGAGUUCAACCAUGUCAAAAAGGACAGUGUACUAGCAGGGUUGGGCGGUCGAUGGUCUCAUUGCAAGGCCUUUGCCUAACAGAAUUCGUCCUGGAAACGUUUCCUCUGCUGUAAGAUGCUGACCUAAAUAUGCAGAAAGAAAGCAUGCCAUCGCCCAUGUGGACAUUUGCGAGCAAACAAAUAAGGGAAGGAAAUGCCUUCCUAUGCUGCAAGAAGCGGCUUCAGCCGAGGUGGAAGAUGGAAGGGAGAAGUCGAAGUUUGUGGGACAAGACUAGAACACCCUGGUGAAUGGAAGGACCCACGAAGAUGUGAACUGAUAAUUGGAACUUGCAGGUCCACUGGCGGGCGUGGACCUGGGGGAAGGUUGCAACUUUACUUAACAAAUGAUUAGCUGCUAAUUUCAGAACAAUUCCAUUUGUUGUGUGCUACCAUGGCGUUUGUCUAGUUCUCAGAAAAGUUUCCCAUUGAAUUUUUUAGAGAGUUGCUGAAAUGUUGCGCGAGGUCAUGGAAAAACAUCUUUCUCUCGCAAUGUAAGUUUGAGUUUACAAAAAGAGAAUGUUCAGUAGCAAUCCGGUUCACUAAUUGGAUUCUGCCUCCUGGAUACUGAUCAUUCUAGUUGUAUUAUUAUAGGUUUCGUUGAGGAAAAUUGAGAUCAGGGCACUUCUUAACGAAGCAAAUAUUUUUCUGCAGUGUUAAUUUGGUAAAAAAAAGUCGUUUCCUACCAUUGUGUUACGAACUUACAACAGCCAUGACUUGUAUGCACUAAAGUUCCGGUGCAUUCAAAAAUUUUCCUCUGCUUAUUGGACUGCUAAAUCCACUUUUUAAGAGACUUGGAAUCAAGCAAGAAAAGAUCAACCGACCACCAAGAGUGGUAGCCUAGUUAUUCCAGGCUUACUCCUAAGUUGUUUGGGUGGUCACGAGGUUUCAAGGUUCGAGUCGUGAGAUCAACGCCUCUUCAAACUUUGCCCUCCUACGAAACCUGACUAUGCUCUACUAGCAGUUGGUGAGGCGGUAAAAGAUUUGGUGGGGUGGUAAAAGCUAUGGUGAUAUUCUUCAUAUGAUGGACUGACCAACAAGGGUGGUAGCCUAGUGUACUCUGUUGUUAUGAGAAUAUGUACGUUAUGAAAAUCUGUACGCUGUUGGAAUGAGUUGUCGGUGACCUCGUUCCAUAAGGAUCACCACGAGAAUCUGUACACUGUUGUUAUGGGGGAGAAGCAUUUCCUCCUCCUUCCGCCCACCAACGUCCACCGGAUGUACAUCCAAGACUACCCUGCUGCUCAGUAGUCAGUACC